GUUGACUAUACCUUUGUGGACUCGGUGAAUAUACUUCUGCGGACCGGGUGACCGUGCUUCUGUGGAAUGGGUGAAUAUACUUCUGCGGACCAGGUGACUAUGCUUCUGUCAACCAGGAAUUUGAGAGCGUAUUUUGCGGUAAAACUGGCCGAAGGCUAAAGCUGACCAGACCGGACUCCUUGGUGACCUGUCCUGCACAGGGGAGUUUACAGAGCAGCCCCUCGAUGGAGAUCAAGUGAUCGGACUGAACAGGAAUCCUCGGGGGGUGAACAGCCAUUCCUUCGUGACCUGUGCACGCCUUCUGCAACCCUGGAGCUCUGCUCGGCUAGUCUGACUCGAAAAGGGCGUGACUCAAGCUGACGGGACUCCAGUAGGGACUUUGAGAGCACAUUUUGUAAAAAUAUUUAUCUAGACGCAAAUGCUUAUCCAUGAAUGUCCUCUUAGACCAUUUGGGGAUGAAGCCAUCUUAAUAAUUAGUAAUAAUUAAUUAGUAAUAAUUAGUAAGCAUUUUCUCAAUGCUCUGAUUCCAUCAUGUUUUCUUAACAUGAUAACUUAAAAAAUUGACAUCCUUUGUACUUUCUUUAAUCUUAAAAAGUACACGGCUUUUUACUUAUUUACCUUUUAAAUAUGCCCCUUUAGCAAUUGGAACAAGUUAAAUUGUUAACUAAAAACAGUUUGGAAAUUUUAUUUCAUUCGUUAUAUCACACCCCCUUGUCAUGACUCUGAGUCACGUGCUGCUGUAUUGCAACGUGCAGGACCAUUUUAAACCUGUGUGCUAAAAAUUUUCCAGAUACUUGCUUUAAAGCUACUUUUGUCCACAAAUGAAAUACUGUCACAGUAGACGCUUAAAUGCCACGUUUUCAUACCAAGAGUCAUUCAUUACUUCAUGUGUCACAAACUGUGGUGUUUGGAAUUGGGUUUUUCAAUGAGUGGCUUUACUUAUCAAUCACAACAGGUAAUAGCAAUAGACGUUAGUGCAAUACAAAGUCACCCUCAAUAAAUACUGUUAAUUGGAGAUGUGAGUUUGUACACAAAACAUCAGACUAGACCUUUGUAUGGGAGAGAAUUUACUGUACAUUAAAUUCUUUAUUUUU
rnacentral:lncRNA from 1 species